rnacentral:rRNA from 1 species
GAAGGAUCAUUGUUGAAACCUGCAUAGCAGAAUGACCAGUGAACAUGUACCAAACAAAUGGCUGUGCGUGAUUCGAUACUUAUGUUUCGAGCCUCGUAAAGCAUCGCUGACUUGUGUUCAUUAUGGUUUUUUCAGGGCCUUUUGGACACUAAGUUGGCAUAACAACCCCCCGGCACAAGAUGUGCCAAGGAAAUAUAAAACUUAAAGGGCCCAUGCUCUAAAGCCUCGUUUAUGGUGUGCUUGUUGUAUGUGGCUUCUUUUUAAAUCUAUAACGACUCUCGGCAACGGAUAUCUCGGCUCACGCAUCGAUGAAGAACGUAGCAAAAUGCGAUACUUGGUGUGAAUUGCAGAAUCCCGUGAACCAUCGAGUUUUUGAACGCAAGUUGCGCCCGAAGCCAUCCGGUUGAGGGCACGUCUGCCUGGGCGUCACGCAUCAUGUCGCUCCCACCUAACUUUCCUCUAAUGGAAUAUAUUGGUUAGGGGCGGAGAUUGGUCUCCCGUGCCUAUGUGCGGUUGGCUCAAAAUAGGAGCUUUCCCAAGGGAAACGCACAACCUGUGGUGGUUGAUAAUACAGUCGUCUCGUGUUGUGCGUGUUUAUCCUUAAGGGGAGAUUCUUUAUAAAACCCGAAUGUGUUGUCUUCGAAUGAUGCUUCGAUCGCGACCCCAGGUCAGGCGGGACUACCCGCUGAGUUUAAGCAUAUC